GUGAAAAUUCCCCUGUCUCAGAUCACAGAUGUUAUGACCUAACAGUGACCUGAAGCACUCCUGCAGCAGAUGAAAACAGGGAGCACUUCAAACUGUUAGCUAUCCUGGGGUGCUGGACACAGCAUCCUUAGGCACUUAAUGGAGAGAGGUUUUUUCCCCAGGGCAAGCCACUGUCCAGCAGUCCUGAUAGUGGGAAGCUCAAAUCGCUGUUGUGCUCUUGAAGUCAGCCCUGAGCAGCAUGAUGGCAAAAUUGCAAGAGAGUUUCUGUGCCAGAUGGGACCUGACUGAACAUAUAAUUGAAACAGUGAGACCACCUGGAUACACAGGGCUGUCAACUAUAAAAAAGGAAUACUCCUAAUAGUUACUGGUAGAAACAGACCAAACCAGUUUUGCAGGCAGGAUGAUGAGUGAUAAAGAGGGUUUUGUUCCUUUAUGGCCUGUGCAAAUUCUAAUUGUGGCUGUAUGUUAUUGCUUCCUCUGGAAAGAUGAUUCUAUGGGCUCCUGGCAUAGCUUCUUGUUCUCCGUUUAUCCAAACACCACACAGCCAUCAUGACAUAGCUUCCAUUUUCUCUUUUGAUUUGAAGAAGUUAAGCAUAAUCCACCCCUUAUUAAUAAUACAGUCCUCUGAGGCAUCAUUUCCCAUUCAUUUCUUCUUUUACAGGGCCCUAAAAGUUGUUGUAAAGGAAAUACAUUUUGGAACACCUAUGUAGGUAUUAUAAUAUAUAUAUUUUUAAAAAAAGUAGAUAAAUUGGGCCCAUAUGGCUUAUUGUGAUUAAAAGCUUCACUGCUUAUGGUGAAAUUCUAGAGCUACACAUAUUGCUGUUAUUAGCAUAUAAAUGCUCUUAUCUGCCAGAGUUGGACAUAAUCAUGAAAUAUGCCAUCAUUCCAGGAUGAGGCUGGGAGCUGCCUGGGGUCCCAUAACAUUAUGAGAAUGAAGUAGGAACACUAUUGUCAUGGUCGAGGAAGCACAUACAUUUCCACCCCCUCUUUUUUGAAACUGGUAAUUUUACAGCAAAAACGGCUUACAUUUUAGGUGAAAUUUCUGAGAUUUAUUUUAAUGUCAAAGGUGACUCCUUUUUUCCCUAGAUCAGUGACUUUAAUAUUGAUUUUUUUUUUUUUUGAGUAGCAGAAAAAUCUGUUAAAACUUUAAUUAUUUUAGAUACUUUGCAUGUGCAUGGAAGACAAAUAGCUUAAUAAUGGUCAUUUUUUUCAGAGACUUAAUCUAAAUGUAAAAUACCUCUGGAAAACAUUAAGAAAUUUAUACCAUAUUUUAGCUGUGUGGUGAGAUUUUCUCUGGAGCUUUUUAGGAUCCACUUUGUUCUUAUUUGCUCCUUAUUUGUGUGGUUUUGGCUACUGUUGCACAAGGAUGUCUGGCUGGGACCAUUUGCAGGGCUUUGCUGGGAGGCAGGAUUUGAAAUGGUCUUUCAGCCUGCCUCUUUCUUUGUCUGUAAAUAUGUGGAACAUAGCUGAGAUCACCCUUUCUAUGGACUGGGAGAAAGGUAAAAUAGGAGAAGCAUCCUCCCACUUAGCUUUAUUUUCCAGAAUCUCUGUGAAUCUCUCUGCCCAUAUUAUUUCAAUAUCAGGCCUUAUACAGAGAGCUAAACUGCACUAGUAUGUAUAAAGAGUUAAUUAAAAAUAUAUGUAUUAACUAAACUAAACUUCUCUUAAACUCCAAGUUUCUUUCAUUUUAUGGUUAGAAUAAAACCUUUUACUGUGCAUGUUUUUGUUGUCACCAAAGACUUAUUAUGCAAUGACAGAGGCUGUUUUUGUAGGACAUGUGUACUGUGUGAAAUUUCAAUAGAAAUCUUAGAAGAGAGUCCGAUCAUGAAAGGUUUCCACUUGGCUUGCAGAUAAAACUGUCUAUAAAUCAGAUAAGCAUUCAACCUUUGAAUCCUUAUCUAAGAAGAAGCUUUUGAGGUUCUGACCUCACAAUUUUUCUAAGGGGAAGAGAUAAUAUCAGUUCCAUCCCUUGCCAGUCCCAGAUCAGUCAAUGUCAAGCCUGGAUUUAUUUUCAUCAAGUUAUGGAGAAUUGCUUGAUAGUCUGCAUCCUGUUCAUUAUUUUUGACCCACACUAUUGAGAUAGAAUCCAUAUGUCUAUUAAUUCCACAAGAAAUCUGACUGAAAUAUAAGGUAAGUAAUUUAUGAGCUCUGGCUAUAUUAUGGGAACAUUUCUGUAAGAAAAUACAGUAUUCUAAAAAAAAUUGCUCACUUACCUUCAUAAUCAUAAAUUAUCUCAUACCUAAUUACAAACAGACAGAAUGAAUAAUUGUCUUCAUUGAGAACUGUUUGACACUGAGAAUAUACUGCUUAUUUUAUAAACUUCUUAAUGCACAGCCCAUAAAUAUGUCACAGCUAAGGAGUACUGCAUCUUUAAGUAUAUUAAAUGCAGUCUUGUGUAACCAAACAUAAUAGGAUUUUUAAAAGAAUUAUAACCAAAGAAUUUAACAAACAACUUUUUAAACUUUCUACAUGUGUGAAGCUUCUGUACAGAACAAUUUAAAUUACACAUCCAAAAAGAAACUUGACUACAUUGAAAAACAAUACUCUUCUUCUUGCUUCAUGUGUAUUUAGAAGUAAUAUGAGAGUUCCAGUGAAAAUUGCUUUAAUUAAUUCAUUUAAAAAGGACCUGUUAAUAGGUUGUAGAGCAAUACCAAAGUCAAAGAAAUGUCAGCAAUGAGAAUUUCUUGGUUUCAGUGAAGGCCAUGCUGACACCUUUAUAGCUGCUUCAGGUCUGAACCUGAUAUAUAUUGUAUUAAUUUGCAAUAGGCUUAAUUUUUAUCAAACAUUCUCAUCUUUUAUAUUGAAAAUCUUCUAAUUCAAACCUUCAUUUUGAGUUGAUAUGCAUUCAGUAGUAAUGCCCCUUUUUGAAGGGAUGGAAUUUAAUAUAAAAGAUGUAGUGAAUAAACUGCGUAGGAUAUGUCAAACAUACUAAUCCAAGCAGCUGAACAACUGUGGAGGAGGCAAAGGAACAGAAAGAGAGGUAAUAAAAGAAAGAAAUGUUAAAUUUAUUGGGAUAAACAAAGGAAUCCUGUACUUCAAGUACUAACAAUUCAGAUUAAAUGAUGUAUUCAAAUACAUUCUGUUUUAAGCACUCGGGCAUGGCUUGAUUUCUACUCUGCUUUUUUUUGGAAGACAACCAGUCUUCAUCAAAAUUGCAUUCUUCCAGUAAUUAAUUUUUUGCUAAUUUCUAAUCUAAAUUUGUCAAACUUCACUGUUUGGCUGCCUGCAGCUAUAAACCAGCAAUUUUGGGAGAGAAGUCCCUUCUUUUCUGUUUCAUAUGCAUUCAAAACACUGUGAAAAAAUUUUCACAACUGGCAUUAGGUUUUCUUUGUGGUUCCAAUCCAUACGUGAAGCAGAUGUGUGCAGUUGUGAAACCCAAUAAGUAGAGAAAUGAUGUAUAAGUAAAAUAUAUUUCUUUCCCAGAAUAAUACAAUUCCACACAAAAUAGUGAUAUAAUAUGUUAAAAUAAUCAAUUUACAUGCUUACAGUUGUGCCUUUUCUAAAUAAUUAUGUAACCAGAUUUGGACUACAUUUCAGAUACAAACAGAAAAUUUCAAUUUAAUCAAAAAUGUAUUUGAUUUAAGUUACCUUUGAAUAACAGUUGGGAGGAAACAAAGGAGAUUCCUGAAAACAGUGAAGCAUGUAAUUUUCUCAUACUUGAAGGGAUAAUUUACUUUGGAGAUGCAAGCUAUGUUUUUUUUUACAUUUUUAUACCACAAAAUUCCUUAACAUUUCAUUCUGAAGCCAAAACAACAUUUCAUUUAAAAUGUGAUAUGAUCAAAAAGAAGGUAAAAUAAAAGAAUCAAAUGAAACAACUCUAGGAGCUCAGCAGGCAUGAAGUAGAAUGGUGGAGUUAAACAGAUAUUGCAUAGAAUGGUGUUGUCUGUGGUUCUUUUUAUUUUUUUUUCAUCAUUGUUAAAAACUCUAAGUUCUGUUUCAAUUGACUUGACAGAAGAUGCAGGAGAGGUUGUUCUAAAAGAACCAAAACCAAAAAUCAAACCCAAAUAAUCACUGUACAAAGUCUUUGCAGUGACUAUACUGUAAUUCUGUUUUCUAUUUUAUUAUCUGAAAAUUUAGGCCCCCCUCCAUUGGACAUCUUAAAUCUUUAUGAGUAUUAGUAAGAUAUUUGCUUUAAGAAAGUGCUGAAGUCUAGUGUGCUGUGACCUUAAUCUGCACCCAGAACUUCAGGGUCCAUUUUGAAGACUUUCAGAAGGAGGGAAAUAAAUUACAGUGGUACACCCAAGUGUAGGCUAUGUAAGAAUCCAGUUGAUUGUGUCAAAUGUGUUGAGCAUCUGGUAGCUCCUGUGAACCAUGAGCUAUGUUUCUAAAAACACUGUCAGUUGCUAAAGUUGAGACAGCCUUGUUUAAAAAACAAAAUAAACCAAAUCAAUUAAAAUUAGAUUUUUUGUGCUUUUGUGACACAGCCUACCACGCACCAGGCAUUACAAGAGAGAUUAUUAUAAUGAUUUAAUACAGUAAAUAACAUACUGAAGGAAAAAAUAUACAAAUAUACCUUCAUCUUCCUUCUGAGCCCUGCAAUUCUGUCAUUGUAAGAGUUGAUAGAUUAUGGCAAAAUAGGUGUGGUGUUGAUUGACCAAAAAUGUUUCUAUUUUUCCACCAAAAUGCCAAAGCCAGAGAGGCAACAUUUUGUCUGCUUGCAUCUCACUUUCUAGCCUGUGAGAUUUCUCAGUUAGAUAUAUGGAAAAUGAGAAAGUCUGGUGGUGACACACAGCUGGACUCCAUGGCUGUGACAAAAGACAGUUCUGAUUUGAAGUUCUUUAUGCCUGGCUGAAGCUGAAAGAGAAUGGUGCUGGCUAAUGUCUGCUGCCAGAUGGCUUUCUGCCUGUUUCAAGUGAGAGCUCAGAUGCUAGACCACAUUUUAAAAUGAUACUUCUGGUUAUGAUCAGUUUUGGAUUCAUAUGGCAGUGUUCUUUAAUGCAUCUCAAUCGUUAUAUAUUUUAUUUCCAUGAAAACCUGUUUCACUUUAGUUACAAAAGGGUCACAUCCAGUAAGGCAUCAUAGCAUUCAAAUGCCACUGCUGUUUUGGGGUGUUUUAAAUUAUUUCUCAUUUCAUAACUUCUUGAAUUGUGUAUUUGCAAAACAACGCCCCCUUUAAAAUGUUUGAACUGGAAAGAUCAGAGAUAAAGCCUAACUCUUCUCAACAUGAUUUAAGCAGAGUGAUCCGUGAGCUCUACUGGAUUCAAUUGACUGUGGUGGUGCUCUACCUGGAAGUGAUUAGUAUAUUGUUUAUAGUAAUGGUGGGUAAAGAGGGAAACAUGCAACUUUCCCUGUGUCUCCAAAGGGCUGUGGAAUUCAGCCAGGCCAUUGCCUGAGCUGUUUAUCUAUCUGCCUGCCUCCUUUGAAGUACUAAGUCAUAGAAGAAACAAGAAUUGCACUCUUUGUAGGUUAUAGUUCUCAUUGGCCUAUUUUUAUUUGAAUAAAAGAUGUGAUAUCCAUAAACACCACAUUCUACCAAAUACUAAUUCUCUCAUCAGGCCACUAUGUAUCUCAUAUCUGUACUGAAAGGUUCACUGUAAUAUUUCCCUGAUAUUUCUUAUGCCAGUGUUAAGCAUUGGAGAUGUCAAGGCAAAAUAAACCAUAUGUUAUAGGCUAUCAAGAAGCAAAUCAAACAUAUGCUCAAGAUAAGGUUUGUCAAGGAAGAGAAUAUCAACUGUUUUCUGAGCUUGAUAAAAAUUCUACUUUAGCACUGAAUAUACUAUUUUCCCAGAGAUGACAGGAAUUCUCUUGUCAACAAUAAAUAUCAAUGAAAUGUUUCUUCUACAAAUCUGGUGUCUAAUUUUAUAUCACAGCAUCUCUUUAUUUCUUAAAGUGUCAGGCCUAUUUAAGUAAGUGGAUGCUCACAAAUGAAGGUAGCAUUUGUGGUGGUGUGUUCCAAAGGUUUGUGAUGAUCAGUUUCAUGUUUGCCUCUGCAAACAAGAGUGAACUCCAUCUUCAUGGCUGACACAGUUUUUGGCUCAUAAAUGUAUUGACUGAUCUGAGAUCAACUGGAGUAGAAAGUCAGCAAUAUAAAGCUGUAGGAUUUGGGUAAAACAGAUAUGGAUAAAUGAAAUAAAUGGUAAAAGGAAACAUCCUUUUAGACAUCUCUUUCUUUGAAUUCUGUUUGCAUUGGUACAAAGAAGAGCACGUGGAUGAUAAGCUCCAUUAUCUAAAAGAGAGACCUGUUCAUCUUUAGCUUCUUAUGAGAAUGACACAUGAAGUGGGCACAGCACACACUGAAAAGGAGCAAAUUUCUAAAAACAGAACUGGCAAGGGUAUGAGAAUUUCAGGGACCAAAUUCUCCUGAGAGGGCAGCGAAUCCAAAUCUAGCACUUUUGGGAAUACUACAGGUGGCAAAUUAGGCUGAGAAGAAAUAUGUGAAAGUACUAUCCAUUCUCUGGAAAGUGGUUUACUCUUUGACAAUGGAUUUAGGCACAGUUGUACUGGAGCAGAGAAAAUGCAAAAAACCCCCUGUGUACUGAGACUUGCUUAUUCACUGGAAUAAGUUUAAUUCCUCCUAGCCCUGCUUAUGCAUUUUAUUAAUGAAAAAUAUUCAUAUACACCAGUUCUAUAAAUGAUGGGAUAGCUAGGAUGUGGGCCAUAUGAAUAUUGUCUGCUGAUGGCUUUUGGUGCUUUUUGGACUGCUGGGCCAAGGUGGCUCAGUGUCCCUGUAUACUGAGUGUCACAAGUGCAGCAGUCACCUACAAAACUUCCUUUGGAGCAGUUACACAGGAUGCUUAUGAUCUUUACCAAUUCCUGCUCCAUAUGUAUGAUAUACCCCUGCAUUGUUGGACAUGCAGGUCUUGGAAUCCAGAUGAGUGCAAGUAUCCUGUGUCUGUAUGGGCAGAAAGGUUGGCAAUGGUUUGUGGUAAAAGAGAAAAUUUGAGAAGUGUCAUAAAAGUCUUUGGUUUGGUUUGGUGAACUUGUCUUUAUUUUGAUUGUUUUGGAGCCUCAGCUGGAAAAAGAAAACCAGUUUCUUUUAAGCUACAUCCCAAGCAGAUCUGAAGACAAAGGUAGAGAGCUGGUGGAUGUAGGUAAUCUAUGUUUAUUGUGAAACUUUAAUUUAUAAAUAAAUGGGUCUAUAAAUUAGCAUUGCUUAUAUAUUGUAGUUUCUCAUAUACAUCUCAGGUGAUCUCAGACAUCAAUUUAAACAAUCGAGGGCUUAACAGAAGAGGAAAUCAAAAGAUAUUGGUUGAUUUCUCCUUGUAUGCCAACACAGAAGUAUCUGUUCAUAUUGCUUUUUGAAUAUAGGGGACAUUCUUUGUAAUGCACUAAAAAAAAAAAUUAAAACUUAUUGGGUUGUACAAAUUUUUCAUUAAAAAAUUGUACUAAUUUGUGCCAAUUUCCUAAUACAAAGCUAUACUACACUAUUAUAGUUCUCUAAAAAUAGGAAAAAUUACUUUUUAAUGUACUAGCUGUUCUAGAAGUGCCAUAUAUUUUAGCAAUAGUUAAUACAUUUUUGUUUUAAUGAAUACUGUAUCAUGUGUAUCCUGUAAAAUUUGCCUGCAAAAUAACCACAUAUCCAGCAAAGAAUCCUGCAUAGUUUUUACUAUUCCAAAAAACACAAUGGAAGAAGAACCAUCUGUGUUGAGGGACAUCCAGGUGGAAAGCAACUCUUGCAAAGGCAAGGAUUUUAGCAACAUCCAUUUAGAAUCUACUUCAUAGACUCUGAGAAUUUUCAUGUGUUUACAGCUGGAAAUAAAUCUACUGGAAAGAA